rnacentral:rRNA from 1 species
AAAGAUCGAAUCGGGAGAUUCAACGAAAACGGGGCUGGCUUCCGUAUGAUGCGCGAUACCCUGAAUGGUUCCCUCGUUGGUUCCAAUGAGAGGGUACACCAUCUUCGGCAAAUGUUCCGGCCUCGUACGUUGUGCACUUCUCCCAUUGUAGAACGUCGCGACCCAGUUGCGUGUCGGUCUACGGCACGAGUUGUUGCCUGUCGCGUCUGUCUCGUGCGUACGCGGCAGACGCUCGAUCGCCUGGCCGGCUGCGCGACGGUACUCUGACGGUAUCGGGGCCGCAACCAAUCCAUUUUCUCGAAUAUGUGUGUGCGUCGGGCCCGCCGCAAGCUCGUGCUAGUAUUACCCGGAUGGUACGGACCUGGUGCCGGCUCCGGGCCUAGUCAGCUGUUGGCAGGCGGUGUCCUCGUGACUGGUCAAGCUUAGAAUUACCGAUCAGAGACACUACUGCUUUGGGUACUUACAGGACCCGUCUUGAA